rnacentral:pre_miRNA from 1 species
AGCUUUCGAAUCCGUGCUGAGAUUUCAUCAGACACCAACGCAUUAAGGCUGAUCAAACUUCCAAGGUAAGUGAAGUU